CCUACGGGCGGCAGCAGUGGGGAAUAUUGGGCAAUGGACGCAAGUCUGACCCAGCCACGCCGCGUGAAGGACGAAGGCUUUCGGGUUGUAAACCUCUUUUAAGGGGGAAGAGCAGACGGCGGUACCCCUUGAAUAAGCCAUGGCUAACUACGUACCAGCAGCUGCGGCAAUACGGAGGGAGCAAGCGUUGUCCGGGUUUACUGGGUGUAAAGGGCGUGUCGCCGGAGAGACAAGUCAGAGGUGAAAUCCCCGGGCUCAACCCGUGCACUGCAUUUGAAACUGUUUCCCUUGAGUGGCUGAGAGGUAAUCGGAAUUCCUGGUGUAGCGGUGAAAUGCGUAGAUAUUAGGAAGAACACCAGUGGCGAAGGCGGAUUACUGGACGAUAACUGACGGUGAGGCGCGAAAGCGUGGGGAGCAAACAGGAUUAGAUACCCGAGUAGUC
rnacentral:rRNA from 1 species